rnacentral:tRNA from 1 species
GCCGCGAUGGCGGAAUUGGUAGACGCGCGAGACUUAAAAUCUCGUACUAGCGAUAGUGUAAGGGUUCGAUUCCCUUUCGCGGCACGA